CCGCUUUCGACUGAACCGUACUCGCUUCAGAUCCUUGACACCACCUGGCAGGGAGGCAAAUGUUAUAUAUACUCCAGGCUCAUCUUGCUCCACACGUUCAGCUUCAUGGUUUGAUUCAACUUCUUUUUUUCUGCUUCCAUUUCUUGCUGUUGCUUCCAAAUGGCCUUGUUUGUUGUGACCUGAAGUACGGAUGCUGGUGGCGCUAGAGCCAUUAGACUGAACCUGGCUGUUUAAUCCAUUUGUGUCUGAUCCUUCAGAUGCUAUUUGACCAUCCAGACAAUCAAAAGAAGCAUUAGGAACAUCAUCGGAAGGAGUAGUCAAGGCAGGCGAAGUGAAGGAGGGUGAUUUGAUGUUCCGGGCUGCUCCUACUGGUAGCCUUUCAGCCAUGUCUUUUAAUUGGGCAGUCAGCGAUUUGAUCACUUCUUUAGCUGCUUUGCAUUUAGCUGUCUCUUCACCUGCAAUUGCUAUUGCUUCCUGCAGUUGUUUAGUUGUCCUUUCCAGCUCAACUUCCUGAAGCUGGGCUUUACGAGUAAGAUUUUCUACCUGAGCUCUCAAUUUAAUAACCUCUUGGCUGAG
rnacentral:misc_RNA from 1 species